rnacentral:rRNA from 1 species
AGAGUUUGAUCCUGGCUCAGAACGAACGCUGGCGGCAUGCCUAACACAUGCAAGUCGAACGAGACCUUCGGGUCUAGUGGCGCACGGGUGCGUAACGCGUGGGAAUCUGCCCUUGGGUUCGGAAUAACAGUUAGAAAUGACUGCUAAUACCGGAUGAUGUCUUCGGACCAAAGAUUUAUCGCCCAGGGAUGAGCCCGCGUCGGAUUAGCUAGUUGGUAGGGUAAAAGCCUACCAAGGCGACGAUCCGUAGCUGGUCUGAGAGGAUGAUCAGCCACACUGGGACUGAGACACGGCCCAGACUCCUACGGGAGGCAGCAGUGGGGAAUAUUGGACAAUGGGCGAAAGCCUGAUCCAGCAAUGCCGCGUGAGUGAUGAAGGCCUUAGGGUUGUAAAGCUCUUUUACCCGGGAUGAUAAUGACAGUACCGGGAGAAUAAGCCCCGGCUAACUCCGUGCCAGCAGCCGCGGUAAUACGGAGGGGGCUAGCGUUGUUCGGAAUUACUGGGCGUAAAGCGCACGUAGGCGGCUUUGUAAGUUAGAGGUGAAAGCCCGGAGCUCAACUCCGGAAUAGCCUUUAAGACUGCAUCGCUAGAACGUUGGAGAGGUAAGUGGAAUUCCGAGUGUAGAGGUGAAAUUCGUAGAUAUUCGGAAGAACACCAGUGGCGAAGGCGACUUACUGGACAACUGUUGACGCUGAGGUGCGAAAGCGUGGGGAGCGAACAGGAUUAGAUACCCUGGUAGUCCACGCCGUAAACGAUGAUGACUAGCUGUCGGGGCUCUUGGAGUUUCGGUGGCGCAGCUAACGCGUUAAGUCAUCCGCCUGGGGAGUACGGCCGCAAGGUUAAAACUCAAAUGAAUUGACGG